UACGUAGGCAGCGAGCGUUGUUCGGAGUUACUGGGCGUAAAGGGUGCGUAGGCGGUUGUUUAAGUUUGGUGUGAAAUCUCCCGGCUCAACUGGGAGGGUGCGCCGAAUACUGAAUGACUAGAGUGCGGGAGAGGAUAGUGGAAUUCCUGGUGUAGCGGUGAAAUGCGUAGAUAUCAGGAGGAACACCGGUGGCGAAGGCGGGUCUCUGGGCCGUAACUGACGCUGAGGAGCGAAAGCGUGGGGAGCGAACAGG
rnacentral:rRNA from 1 species